UUUGCCAAUCCAUGUCUCGUGAUGCCCAAAAUUUCACCACGGCAACUCAUCAAAUCUGAAAGAAGAGCAACGUGCCGGCGAUCGACACUCAUGCCGUGGCUUUCCAUUGUGUAUUGAAUUUCCUUGGCAAUAGUCGCCCUCUUCAAUUCCCAAGGUACUGUAGACUUCCAGAAUAUUGUUUGAUGUAGUUGAGGUCCCUUUAACACCGUAGGUCGCCAUCACUUCCCGCAUGUUGUCACCUUCAACAAGUAGGUAAUAUCUUGGUGGUUUUCUUGUGUCGUCAAUAUUGAUGACAGCUCGACUGACAGUUGGCAAACCCUGAAGUAAUGGAAAAUAUUUAUGCCUUACAAUUGUAAAUACGAAUCUCGACCACGCACCUUGAUGACGACUCUGGGUAACGUUUCCUUGAGAUGUUGCAUAACGUGAUACAUCGAAGAUUUCGAAGAUGGAGCAGGUUUGACGAUAACGAUGGUUUCACUUAUGACUUUAAUGAAACUAGGCUUUAUUUUCAGCUUACAUGUGCAGAGGCUGAAAUUGGAACAUUAACAAUUAAAUUAAUUAAGAAAUUUAAAUAAAAUGAAAAGAUUAUUAAAUUGCCUCCACUGAAUCGAAUUUGCGUCCACUUCUAAUUUAAGCAAUCGGAUCCUAUUCAUGUCCAAUUUGAUCAACAUGAAACAAUCAUCGGGUAAGUAGACUUCCUCGAAAUAUUCUGUUACCUAUAAAAAUAAAAUUGUUAAAGAAGUUAAAACCCUAAGAUGUUCCAUUUUUACUUCUCCCAGUGUGGUCUUUUCUAUCCUUCCUUUUACUCGUCGAGCAUACUCAGGGUCAUCAUCUUUUAAAAGCUGAGUAGAAAUGACUGGCGUACUGAUUGCUUUUGAAGCAUUAAUAAUUUCCUUAAUCCUGAAAUAAUUCCAUCAAACGAAACUAGUGUCAUUAAAUGAAUUCCAAAAAUGGCACUGAAUUGGAAAAUACCUAGGAACUCCCUGUGUGAUGUUCAUGGAAGCAACACCAGCAAAAUGAAAUGUCUUGAGCGUCAUUUGAGUACCCGGUUCUCCAAUACUCUGGGCGCAAAGUGCUCCAACGGCGGUACCUGGCUCAAUUUUAGCCCGUUCAUACUUUUCCUUAGAAAAGUCGCAGAAUUCCACUAACUGACCAACAGUUAUGCGCUCCAGGUGUUUUUCUACUGUAAGUAAAGAUCGACCUUCCAUUUUGAAAAGCUGCCGUACUUUUUUGAUCCGUUUGACUUGGCUCUCAACAAAAACCCUGUACAACAAACGCAACACAUUAUCAUGAAUAUCAAUUGAAUUUAAAGAAAAUAAUAGUAACCGGAGCUCAUGUUGAAAGUCAACUCCGAGCAUUUUAAAAGAAUCCGUGUCCAUAAUUGUGUUAAACGCUUGUUGCAGUUCAAUAUCAUCCAAAGGUUCUUCAUCCGGAUAAGGGGAAGCGGCUUUGAUAUGGUCAAGAGCUCGCUGGAAAUCAACAGGGCGAUCUUUGGCUUCCAUGUAAGUAGGAUCUAGCCCAUCACCUCCAUAAACGAAUUGAAUAAUCUCUCCAGUGGAGUUUCUCACAGUUGAAUCGUACUGGCAACAAAGGUCUUCCAACGAUUUAACUAGUCGCCGUUGCAUGUAACUAAAAAAAUACAAAAUUUAUAACAUCAUUGAAGUCAUUCAGUGCCAAUGUCGAAUAACCUACCCAGUUUCAGCUGUUUUUACGGCUGUGUCCACCAAUCCUUCACGCCCACCCAUCGUGUGGAAGAAAAAUUCUGUGGGAGUAAGUCCGGAGUAAAAGCUGUUGGAGACAAAACCUUUAGCAGCCGGGAUUUUCGAAUGUCGCUUGAAAUGAGGCAAACUACGAUCUUCAAAACCAUUGGGCACUCGUUUGCCGUUUAAAGCUUGUUGUCCUACGCAGGCAAUCAUCUGAGAAAUGUUGAUGUAUGAUCCUUUUGAACCACUUUUAGACAUGACCAAUGGACUAUUGCUCGGAUGCAGCUCCUUUUUGCACACUUCUCCGGCCUGAUCACGAAUUCCAGACAGUUCUGUGUUUCAGAAGUAAUAAUCCAAAAUAUUAACAUAUAAGUAAUAAUUCUGUUCUGACUACUGUUAUUUAACAAACCUUUCAAGAUUUUUGAUUCCAAGGAUUCUUCUUCAUUGCAUCCUGGAAGGCAAGGCAGUUGACCUAAGGUGAGUAAACGAAUGUAUUCGUCGCACUUGGAAUAACCAGUGUCCAAAAGUGUUUGUUUUUCCUUUAGCAAAGUUUUACCUAAUUAAAAUAUCGAAAGAAUGUUACGAAACACAACAAAUGAAUAAACAAAAUAAAUAAUGAUUACCAGGAGUUACAUCACCGAUGCCGAUAGAGAAUCCUCGGUUCAUCAUAUAAUAAGAAGCUACUCGGCAAAGUUUCCACAUUGCCUGAAUAGCGAAAUCCUCUCCGUAGUCGCGAAGAAGUACGUAAAAAAUGUUGAUUUUUGAACCAGAUCCAAUGGUAGAUUUGUCAACGCAUCCUGCUAACACCUCAGAAUUACGGACCAACAGAAACCCGUCAUUGACGCAAAACUCUUCGUUCUUCUUUGAAUACUCUUUUCCUUUGGUUCUCAGGUUAACUUUAAUGCGAUCUCCAGGAUUAGGACGAAGAAUCAAACUGAAAAUCUGUUUUCCUGACCACAGGGCUGCGGGUUUUUGGAUACACGGAGGCGGAAGUUUAAUGACCAUGUUUACCUCGUCACCUUUUAAAAAGGCAAGUUGAUUUAGGUAAUGCAAAUUGCAAACUGAAAGAAAUUAGAGAAACGUACCUGCAAGCAUGGAUGCAACCAUUUGGCAAGUCUUGGCUCGAUCAAAGAAAGCAUCCUUUAAUGUCAGUAAGUAAGCUCCAGUUAUGAAAUCCUAUCAUCAAUUUAAAUUACACCAGUUAUUUAUAAAACCUUGAUUGCAGAAAUUAUUACCUGAAUAGCUGCUAUCAAUAAUUCGCCGUUACGCGGAGUCACUAAAUUAAAUUUAUUUCCCAUUAGGAUCCAGGCUUCGGCACGAGCUUCUUCUGUUUGAGGAAGAUGGAGAUUCAUCUCGUCACCGUCGAAAUCUGCAUUGUAGGGUGUACAGACGCACUCAUUAAAGCGGAAAGUGCGGUGCGGCAAAAUCUUGGCUCGGUGACACAUAAUGGAAAGUUUAUGCAACGACGGCUGACGGUUGAACAAGACGAUAUCUUCAUCCAUCAUAUGCCUUUCAAUCAAAUCGCCAAGCUGAAAGAAAAUGUUUUUUGUUAA
rnacentral:lncRNA from 1 species